rnacentral:rRNA from 1 species
GUACACGCUGUGACUAGCAUAUCAAUAAGCGGAGGAAAAGAAACUAAUAAGGAUUCCCCUAGUAACGGCGAGUGAAGCGGGAAGAGCUCAAAUUUGAAAUCUUAAAGGGUUUCCCUUUACGAAUUGUAGUUUAAAGAAGUGUUUUCUGUUGAGGUUUUGGUAAAAGUUCUUUGGAAUAGGACAUCAUAGAGGGUGAGAAUCCCGUAUUUGACCUUUACUUUCAACUUUGUGAUACACUUUCAAAGAGUCGGAUUGUUUGGGAAUGCAGUCCAAAAUGGGUGGUAAAUUUCAUCUAAAGCUAAAUAUUGGCGAGAGACCGAUAGCGAACAAGUACCGUGAGGGAAAGAUGAAAAGAACUUUGAAAAGAGAGUUAAACAGUACGUGAAAUUGUCAAAAGGGAAGCGUUUGACACCAGUGUUAGUUUUUCUGAAAAUCAAUUAAAGAACUGUUUAUGCUAAGUUGUUUAGACUUUAUCAGCUAUCUGUUUAGUUUUGAGCUUUUCUUUAAUGCACUUUUCAGUUAACAAGUCAACAUCAAUUUCUUUUGCUGUAAAAAAGCUUGAGGAAGGUGGCUUGAGAUUCGUCUUAAGUGUUUAUAGCCUCUUGCCUAUGCAGUCGGAGAGAUUGAGGUCUGCAGCGUAGAUCCUUCGGGGCUAAAUGCAUUUGUGCUAAGUUAUAGCAUUUUAUAGACAACUUGUUGACUAUGAUUUGUCUUGUAGCUUACUCGCUUAUGUUAUUUUACCUACGCUUAGGAUGUUGAUGAUGUAGCACAUCAU